AGAAUGGAGUUCUUCAACUCCAUCCAGGUAAAUAUUAAAGAUGUA
rfam:Otolemur garnettii contig143478, whole genome shotgun sequence.